rnacentral:rRNA from 1 species
UACGUAGGGGCGAGCGUUGUCCGGAAUGAUUGGGCGUAAAGGGCGCGUAGGCGGCUGUGCAAGUCAGUAGUGGAAGCCCAGCUUUUAAGGUUGGAAGUGCUAUUGAAACUGUGCAGCUUGAGUGCAGGAGAGGUUAUCGGAAUUCCCGGUGUAGCGGUGAAAUGCGUAGAGAUCGGGAGGAACACCAGUGGCGAAGGCGGGUGACUGGACUGCAACUGACGCUGAGGCGCGAAAGUGUGGGGAGCAAACAGGAUUAGAUA